UGAGUUUGAUUAUGGCUCAGGACAAACGCUGGCGGCGUGCAUAACACAUGCAAGUCGAACGAAAUCUACAUGAUUUAGUGGCGAACGGGUGAGUAACACGUGAGAAACCUGCCUUACACAGAGGGAUAGCCGUUGGAAACGACGAUUAAUACCUCAUGACACCGUGACAUCGCAUGAUGAUGCGGUCAAAGAUUUAUCGGUGUAAGAUGGUCUCGCGCCUGAUUAGCUGGUUGGUGGGGUAACGGCCUACCAAGGCGACGAUCAGUAGCCGAUCUGAGAGGGUGGACGGCCACAUUGGGACUGAGACACGGCCCAAACUCCUACGGGAGGCAGCAGUGGGGAAUUUUGCACAAUGGGGGAAACCCUGAUGCAGCGACGCCGCGUGAACGAAGAAGGCCUUCGGGUUGUAAAGUUCUGUC
rnacentral:rRNA from 1 species